rnacentral:rRNA from 1 species
GAUGAACGCUGGCGGCGUGCCUAAUACAUGCAAGUAGAACGCUGAAGGAGGAGCUUGCUCUUCUGGAUGAGUUGCGAACGGGUGAGUAACGCGUAGGUAACCUGCCUGGUAGCGGGGGAUAACUAUUGGAAACGAUAGCUAAUACCGCAUGACAACAGUUAUUGCAUGAUAACUGUUUAAAAGGGGCAACUGCUCCACUACCAGAUGGACCUGCGUUGUAUUAGCUAGUUGGUGAGGUAACGGCUCACCAAGGCGACGAUACAUAGCCGACCUGAGAGGGUGGUCGGCCACACUGGGACGGAGACACGGCCCAGACUCCUACGGGAGGGAGCAGUAGGGAAGCUUCGGCAAUGGACGGAAGGCUGACCGAGCAACGCCGCGGGAGGGAAGAAGGGUUUCGGAUCGGAAAGCUCGGUUGUAAGAGAAGAACGAGUGUGAGAGUGGAAAGUUCACACUGUGACGGUAUCUGACCAGAAAGGGACGGCUAACUACGUG